GAUCAGAUGACUGGUCAAUCGGUAGAGCAUGAGGCUCGUAGUCUCAGCGCCGUGGGUUCAAGCCCCACAUUGGGCA